GGGGAAUAUUGCACAAUGGGCGCAAGCCUGAUGCAGCAACGCCGCGUGAGGGACGACGGCCUUCGGGUUGUAAACCUCUUUUAGCAGGGAAGAAGCGAAAGUGACGGUACCUGCAGAAAAAGCACCGGCUAACUACGUGCCAGCAGCCGCGGUAAUACGUAGGGUGCAAGCGUUAUCCGGAAUUAUUGGGCGUAAAGAGCUCGUAGGCGGUUUGUCGCGUCUGCUGUGAAAACCCGAGGCUCAACCUCGGGCCUGCAGUGGGUACGGGCAGACUAGAGUGCGGUAGGGGAGAUUGGAAUUCCUGGUGUAGCGGUGGAAUGCGCAGAUAUCAGGAGGAACACCGAUGGCGAAGGCAGAUCUCUGGGCUAUAACUGACGCUCAUGCACGAAAGCGUGGGGAGCAAA
rnacentral:rRNA from 1 species